rnacentral:rRNA from 1 species
ACGAACGCUGGCGGCGUGCCUAAUACAUGCAAGUCGAACGGUCUUUCUAUGGAAGCUUGCUUCCACUGAGAAGAUAGUGGCGGACGGGGUGAGUAACACGUGGGGUAACCUGCCCAUAAGAGGGGGGAGUAACAUCCGGAAACGGGUGCUAAUACCGCAUAGUUUUCUUGAUCGCAUGAUUGAGAAAGGAAAGACGGCCUUUGUGCUGUCGCUUAUGGAUGGACCCGCGGCGUAUUAGUUAGUUGGUGAGGUAAUGGCUCACCAAGACGAUGAUACGUAGCCGACCUGAGAGGGUGAUCGGCCACACUGGGACUGAGACACGGCCCAAACUCCUACGGGAGGCAGCAGUAGGGAAUCUUCCGCAAUGGACGAAAGUCUGACGGAGCAACGCCGCGGUGAGUGAAGAAGGGUUUUUUCGGAUCGUAAAACUCUGUUGUCAGAGAAGAACAAGUUGGAGAGUAACUGCUCCAGCCUUGACGGUAUCUGACCAGAAAGCCACGGCUAACUACGUGCCAGCCGCAGC